rnacentral:rRNA from 1 species
GACGGAGGGGGCAAGCGUUGUCCGGACUCACUGGGCGUAAAGGGUCCGUAGGCGGUGUGAUGCGUCGGUGCUGAAAGCGCACGGCUUAACCGAGCGAGGCGUGCCGAUACGAUCAUACUGGAGGCAGGCAGAGGGUGGCGGAAUUCCGGGUGUAGUGGUGAAAUGCGUAGAGAUCCGGAGGAACGCCUGUGGCGCAAGCGGCCACCUGGGCCUGACCUGACGCUGAGGGACGAAAGCGUGGGGAGCGAAC